ACGAACGCUGGCGGCGCGCCUAACACCUGCAAGUCGAACGAGCGAGAGAGAGCUUGCUUUCUUGAGCGAGUGGCGAACGGGUGAGUAACGCGUGAGGAACCUGCCUCAAAGAGGGGGACAACAGUUGGAAACGACUGCUAAUACCGCAUAAGCCCACGGUGCCGCAUGGCACAGAGGGAAAAGGAGCAAUCCGCUUUGAGAUGGCCUCGCGUCCGAUUAGCUAGUUGGUGAGGUAACGGCCCACCAAGGCGACGAUCGGUAGCCGGACUGAGAGGUAGAACGGCCACAUUGGGACUGAGACACGGCCCAGACUCCUACGGGAGGCAGCAGUGGGGAAUAUUGCACAAUGGGGGAAACCCUGAUGCAGCGACGCCGCGUGGAGGAAGAAGGUCUUCGGAUUGUAAACUCCUGUUGUUGGGGAAGAUAAUGACGGUACCCAACAAGGAAGUGACGGCUAACUACGUG
rnacentral:rRNA from 1 species